rnacentral:sRNA from 1 species
GGAAGAGCUAAAGGAAUUUUAUAAGUUUUGUUACAUGAAAGGUUGAAAUAUUGAGUGGUUGAAAGUGAACUGCUGUUUGCCUGAUUGGUAAACCAACACACUACAAUUGAUAUCAAAAGGUUUCUCCUGUAAUAUUUUAUCCCUGGACUUGUCAAGUGAAUUCUUUGCAUGUUCAAAACGGAAACCAUUGAUUAGAACUACAUUCUUUACCCCUCGUUUUAAUUUGAACCCCACCAUAUGGAUUUUUUUCCUUAAGAAAAUCUCCUUUUAGGAGAUCAUGGUGUCACAGUGUUUGGUUCUUUUGUUUUGUUUUUUAACACUUGUCUCCCCUCAUAUACAAAAGUACAAUAUGAAGCCUUCAUUUAAUCUCUGCAGUUCAUCUCAUUUCAAAUGUUUAUGGAAGAAGCACUUCAUUGAAAGUAGUGCUGUAAAUAUUCUGCCAUAGGAAUACUGUCUACAUGCUUUCUCAUUCAAGAAUUCGUCAUCACGCAUCACAGGCCGCGUCUUUGACGUUUUGAAUAAGUCUGGGUGACCGCACCUAAAAUGCACUUGCACUAUUACUCAGCAGCAGUAACAUGGUAACACUUAAAAUGGUACUCGGGGACCUCCAAAGACUAAACUGACAAGCCUUCAAGGAGCCCAGGGGUAAGUUAACUUGUCAACGGCAUGGUUUAAUCCCUUCUUUACACUUGUGUAAAUUUCAGUUACUGGUCAUAGAAGGCUUUCAAUGUUGAGUGGCCUUUUAUUAACAUGUUUAUGGUACUGCAUAGAUACGGGUAUUUAUUUUACCCUAAGAAGAUUUUGAAGUUUAAAAGUACUUAAACUAUUUGGCAAAGAUUUGUUUUUAAAAAUCUAUUUGGUCAAUCUAAAUGCAUUCAUUCUAAAAAAUUUUUUGAACCAGAUAAAUAAAAUUUUUUUUUGACACCACA